rnacentral:rRNA from 1 species
GAUGAACGCUGGCGGCGUGCCUAAUACAUACAAGUCGAGCGAACAGACGAGGAGCUUGCUCCUCUGACGUUAGCGGCGGACGGGUGAGUAACACGUGGAUAACCUACCUAUAAGACUGGGAUAACUUCGGGAAACCGGAGCUAAUACCGGAUAAUAUAUUGAACCGCAUGGUUCAAUAGUGAAAGACGGUUUUGCUGUCACUUAUAGAUGGAUCCGCGCCGCAUUAGCUAGUUGGUAAGGUAACGGCUUACCAAGGCAACGAUGCGUAGCCGACCUGAGAGGGUGAUCGGCCACACUGGAACUGAGACACGGUCCAGACUCCUACGGGAGGCAGCAGUAGGGAAUCUUCCGCAAUGGGCGAAAGCCUGACGGAGCAACGCCGCGUGAGUGAUGAAGGUCUUCGGAUCGUAAAACUCCGUUAUUAGGGAAGAACAAAUGUGUAAGUAACUAUGCACGUCUUGACGGUACCUAAUCAGAAAGCCACGGCUAACUACGUG